rnacentral:lncRNA from 1 species
ACUGCAAGAUGAAGGUUGGCGUGUGAGACAGUGUGUGAUGUUCUGCCCAGGAGGGAUAAAUAUGGGAGAAGAAGCGGAGCGAAGCAGCCAUCAAGAGGAUGCAAGUAUCCUGGCAGGACCAGUAUGUGCAGAAGUUACUUAAAAGCCAGCCAGUGUAUGAACAUAUCCUGCAUCUGGAGAUUAGAAAUUAAUGAGACAGAGGGAAAGAACGAAGGAAGAAGGGACAGGACUACAGAUCCUCAGAGCACAAGUUUGUGUUACUGUAGAUGUUACUAUGGAAAUAAUAUCAUUUUAACUGGAUUUUUUAAAUUAUAUCUUGUUGCACACUGUGUUCUCUUCUUUCCUUAUUAAUGAUGUUAACCUAAGAUAAGUAAAAUUGAAGAGGGUACUACUUUCAGUAAAAGGAAACUGUCAUAGCAGGGAUAGAUACUGGAGGGUGCAGAUGUUAGAAAUUAAGAGACAGUUAAGAGUAUCACACAUGCACAUAGGCUGGAUUAGUAAAUAUAUUUGGUACCAAAGCCAGAAAUACAUUUGCUCUAGAGCCUUUCUAUAGUCAGUAAAAAAAGACAAAUUUCAAGACUGAUUAAAACCUGCAGUGAACAACAAAAGGCUCAUCUGAUGUGUCAAUGCACUAACUACUCUAUAUACAUGAAAACCUCCACAAUGUUGAAAGACAGGAAAGCUGUGGUUUUAAUUGUUUAGACUUUUAGUGAAAGAAUGUGGCCUCAUUAUCUGCCAUCAACAGAGGAACUCAAGACAUAUUAACUCACUUCUUUAAAAACUGCUUGAAUGUGCAGAUAAAACUGCCCGAGAAAGUAGCAGAUGAAUGCAUAGAUUAAGAAAACUUGGUAAGUUAAUGGAGUGACAUCACUUAGAAAAUGAGUAGAAAUGAAUAGAAAAUGCAUAUUAGAAGGCUACUGACACUAGGAAAGUGUAAGGUAAUUGUCAGUGCUCACAAGUGAAUGAGGUCACAGACUGUGUUCUUUGAAGUAGAAAUAGUAAAUGUUUCUACUGCUCGGUGUUGCAGUUUUUUUCAGAAAUAUAACCAUAUUCUGUUUUCCAUGUUGUCUACAUAAGGGCUCUGAAAUUUUGUCCAGCAUCAGAUAUCCUACAUAUUGAAUGAAUAGAAAAUGCAUCUUCGAAGGUGUAACUCCUCUGAAAUACAUGUACUCCAGAAUAAGAAUCAUUUUUUUCUAUUAGCUGUGUAGAAUUUAGAAGUCAUUUUAGAGGUUGAGGUGUACAUUUGGUAGGAUGGAUCCUGAGGCCUGAAUCUUCUGCCAGGUGUCAUUUAUAUCUUUGGAAUUAGUAAGGAAAAUAGACUUCAGGAGCACUUGUUUGGAAUCAGGAACUA